CGUCGAAGGUGGGGCUGAUGACUGGGGUGAAGUCGUAACAAGGUAUCCGUACCGGAAGGUGCGGAUGGAUCACCUCCUAACAGGGAGACAAACAACGAUUUUGAUGCCUGAGUGUUUUUAUUCUUAGGCCGAAAUCCUGUCACCUUAGGUCGAUCGGUAUCUCAGCUUUGAAGUCAAGAGACUGCAGCAAUGUGGUUUGCUUGAUGGAAAUUUUCAGUUCCUAAACUUUGUCUAGGUCACAUCCCAUAUGGGUUGACUCUCCUGGGCCAUUAGCUCAGGUGGUUAGAGCGCACCCCUGAUAAGGGUGAGGUCCCUGGUUCAAGUCCAGGAUGGCCCAUUCGGUGUUGGGGGUUUAGCUCAGUUGGUAGAGCGCCUGCUUUGCAAGCAGGAUGUCAGGAGUUCGAGUCUCCUAACCUCCACUGAUUAAACUCAAUCUCCAUGGUCCGAUUUUGGAGAAUGAACUCGAAUGUGGUUUGUGAUUUAGAUGCGUCCGCUGGAAGACCCCAGCUUCCUGUCAUUCCAUAUAGAGAGUAUUGACUCUUGUUUUGGUUGAUAAGAUGCUGGGCUCGAACUGAGCAAUCAGUUUGAUCUCUAGCAGAACCUUGACAACUGCAUAGGUAAGUCUGGAAAAACAAAGCAUCUUACAGAUGCAUUGUUUUGAGUCUGAUCUUUCGAAAGGAAGGUUAGAUCCAGAACAAUGAACAAUUCUUUUGAGCAAGAGCCGAGACUCUUGAGCGUUCUUGGGUUCGUGUCGAGCGAAUCUGAGUUUGAUUUUAUUUUAUUGAUCAGUGAAAACUGAUUAAUAAAAUCUAAGAAUCUGCUUUCAACGGCGGCAAGCGUUCAAGAGAUUAAUUGGUCAAGCUACAAAGGGCUCACGGC
rnacentral:misc_RNA from 1 species